rnacentral:rRNA from 1 species
AGGGAAUCUUCCACAAUGGACGAAAGUCUGAUGGAGCAACGCCGCGUGAACGAUGAAGGCCUUCGGGUCGUAAAGUUCUGUUGUAAGGGAAGAACAAGUGCCGCAGGCAAUGGCGGCACCUUGACGGUACCUUGCGAGAAAGCCACGGCUAACUACGUGCCAGCAGCCGCGGUAAUACGUAGGUGGCAAGCGUUGUCCGGAAUUAUUGGGCGUAAAGCGCGCGCAGGCGGCCUCUUAAGUCUGAUGUGAAAGCCCCCGGCUCAACCGGGGAGGGCCAUUGGAAACUGGGAGGCUUGAGUAUAGGAGAGAAGAGUGGAAUUCCACGUGUAGCGGUGAAAUGCGUAGAGAUGUGGAGGAACACCAGUGGCGAAGGCGACUCUUUGGCCUAUAACUGACGCUGAGGCGCGAAAGCGUGGGGAGCAAACAGGAUUAGAUACCCUGGUAGUCCACGCCGUAAACGAUGAGUGCUAGGUGUUGGAGGGUUUCCGCCCUUCAGUGCUGAAGCUAACGCAUUAAGCACUCCGCCUGGGGAGUACGGUCGCAAGGCUG